CUAUUAAUUUCGGUUUAGGGUCUGAAAAACUCAUAUAGUCAUGUGUUGUCAUCAGCUUCUUCUCUUGCACUUUUCACGAGAUUGGAGUUAAAUAACAGCACUACAUUG
rfam:Gossypium raimondii Chr08_contig_926, whole genome shotgun sequence.